GAUGAACGCUGGCGGCGUGCCUAAUACAUGCAAGUCGAGCGAACGGACGAGAAGCUUGCUUCUCUGAUGUUAGCGGCGGACGGGUGAGUAACACGUGGAUAACCUACCUAUAAGACUGGGAUAACUUCGGGAAACCGGAGCUAAUACCGGAUAAUAUUUUGAACCGCAUGGUUCAAAAGUGAAAGACGGUCUUGCUGUCACUUAUAGAUGGAUCCGCGCUGCAUUAGCUAGUUGGUAAGGUAACGGCUUACCAAGGCAACGAUGCAUAGCCGACCUGAGAGGGUGAUCGGCCACACUGGAACUGAGACACGGUCCAGACUCCUACGGGAGGCAGCAGUAGGGAAUCUUCCGCAAUGGGCGAAAGCCUGACGGAGCAACGCCGCGUGAGUGAUGAAGGUCUUCGGAUCGUAAAACUCUGUUAUUAGGGAAGAACAUAUGUGUAAGUAACUGUGCACAUCUUGACGGUACCUAAUCAGAAAGCCACGGCUAACUACGUGCCAGCAGCCGCGGUAAUACGUAGGUGGCAAGCGUUAUCCGGAAUUAUUGGGCGUAAAGCGCGCGUAGGCGGUUUUUUAAGUCUGAUGUGAAAGCCCACGGCUCACCCGUGGAGGGUCAUUGGAAACUGGAAAACUUGAGUGCAGAAGAGGAAAGUGGAAUUCCAUGUGUAGCGGUGAAAUGCGCAGAGAUAUGGAGGAACACCAGUGGCGAAGGCGACUUUCUGGUCUGUAACUGACGCUGAUGUGCGAAAGCGUGGGGAUCGAACAGGAUUAGAUACCCUGGUAGUCCACGCCGUAAACGAUGAGUGCUAAGUGUUAGGGGGUUUCCGCCCCUUAGUGCUGCAGCUAACGCAUUAAGCACUCCGCCUGGGGAGUACGACCGCAAGGUUGAAACUCAAAGGAAUUGACGGGGACCCGCACAAGCGGUGGAGCAUGUGGUUUAAUUCGAAGCAACGCGAAGAACCUUACCAAAUCUUGACAUCCUUUGACAACUCUAGAGAUAGAGCCUUCCCCUUCGGGGGACAAAGUGACAGGUGGUGCAUGGUUGUCGUCAGCUCGUGUCGUGAGAUGUUGGGUUAAGUCCCGCAACGAGCGCAACCCUUAAGCUUAGUUGCCAUCAUUAAGUUGGGCACUCUAAGUUGACUGCCGGUGACAAACCGGAGGAAGGUGGGGAUGACGUCAAAUCAUCAUGCCCCUUAUGAUUUGGGCUACACACGUGCUACAAUGGACAAUACAAAGGGCAGCGAAACCGCGAGGUCAAGCAAAUCCCAUAAAGUUGUUCUCAGUUCGGAUUGUAGUCUGCAACUCGACUACAUGAAGCUGGAAUCGCUAGUAAUCGUAGAUCAGCAUGCUACGGUGAAUACGUUCCCGGGUCU
rnacentral:rRNA from 1 species